rnacentral:misc_RNA from 1 species
UUUCCGUAGGUGAACCUGCGGAAGGAUCAUUAUUGAAACUUCAUCCGGGGCGCCGCGGCCCUCAGCACCGGUGGAAACGCCGUGCUGCGGGGGCCGCGCGUGCACUUGUCCAAACCAAACCCCUGUGAACCUUACGGGAUGGCCCGGGUUAGCGCCCGGUGCCGUUCCGCUUUAUACAAACACUUAUCAAAGAAUGAACUGAAGGCGGUCUGACCGCUGGAUAACAAACUGAAACAACUUUCAACAACGGAUCUCUUGGCUCUC